UACGUAGGGGGCAAGCGUUGUCCGGAUUUAUUGGGCGUAAAGAGCUUGUAGGCGGUUUGUCGCGUCUGCCGUGAAAAUUCGAGGCUCAACCUCGAACUUGCGGUGGGUACGGGCAGACUAGAGUGUGGUAGGGGAGACUGGAAUUCCUGGUGUAGCGGUGAAAUGCGCAGAUAUCAGGAGGAAUACCCAUGGCGAAGGCAGUUCACUGGGCAUUAUCUGACGCUGAGGCGCGAAAGCGUGGGGAGCAAACAGG
rnacentral:rRNA from 1 species